rnacentral:tRNA from 1 species
GCGAGAGUGGCGGAAUUGGCAGACGCGCCAGACUUAGGAUCUGGUAACCUCGGUGUGUGGGUUCGACUCCCACCCCUCGCA